rnacentral:rRNA from 1 species
GACGAACGCUGGCGGCGUGCUUAACACAUGCAAGUCGAACGGAAAGGCCCUGCUUUUGUGGGGUGCUCGAGUGGCGAACGGGUGAGUAACACGUGAGUAACCUGCCCUUGACUUUGGGAUAACUUCAGGAAACUGGGGCUAAUACCGGAUAGGAGCUCCUGCUGCAUGGUGGGGGUUGGAAAGUUUCGGCGGUUGGGGAUGGACUCGCGGCUUAUCAGCUUGUUGGUGGGGUAGUGGCUUACCAAGGCUUUGACGGGUAGCCGGCCUGAGAGGGUGACCGGCCACAUUAGGACUGAGAUAAGGCCCAGACUCCUACGGGAGGCAGCAGUGGGGAAUAGUGCACAAUGGGCGGAAGCCUGAUGCAGCACCGCCGCGUGCGGGAUGACGGCCUUCGGGUUGUAAACCGCUUUCGCCUGUGACGAAGCGUGAGUGACGGUAAUGGGUAAAGAAGCACCGGCUAACUACGUG